rnacentral:rRNA from 1 species
GACAGAGGUGCCGAGCGUUAGGCGGAAUCACUGGGCUUAAAGCGUGUGUAGGCGGGUCGUUAAGUGUCUUGUGAAAUCCCACCGCUCAACGGUGGAACCGCUGGGCAUACUGGCGAUCUUGAGCAGUCCAGGGGCGAGCGGAACAAGCGGUGGAGCGGUGAAAUGCGUAGAUAUCGGGAAGAACACCUAUGGCGAAGGCAGCUCUCUGGGACGGGUACUGACGCUGAGACGCGAAAGCGUGGGGAGCGAACAGG